rnacentral:lncRNA from 1 species
AGGAACAGUGUUAAGUCACUUUCAUUACCAACAAAUUUGUCUGACUGAUAUUGAAAAACAGAUUCUCAAAUUUCAAAUUUCAAACUCUCUCUCCCUCUCUAAACAACAAAGCCACAACCUUCUUCACUUGAUGAACUUGAUUUUCCUUCCAAAGAAGAAUCUCAUGGAUGUUGCUGGGCCGAUUUUCAUUCUGACGGAGCAG